UACGGAGGAUGCAAGCGUUAUCCGGAUUUAUUGGGUUUAAAGGGUGCGUAGGCGGGAAGAUAAGUCAGUGGUGAAAUCCUGCAGCUUAACUGUGGAAUUGCCGUUGAUACUAUUUUUCUUGAGUGUGGUCAAGGAAGGCGGAAUGUGUAAUGUAGCGGUGAAAUGCUUAGAUAUUACACAGAACACCGAUUGCGAAGGCAGCUUUCUGGGCCGUUACUGACGCUGAUGCACGAAAGCGUGGGGAUCGAACAGGAUUAGAUA
rnacentral:rRNA from 1 species